GCAAUUCCAAGUGUGUCAAAUUGUGAAAAUUAAGAUAUUUUGAAUUUUAUUCAUGACAAUAGUGAACAUAUGUGUGGUUGCCUAUCGUGAUCCUAUAUGUGUCAAAUUGUCUUUGUUAAGAUAUUUUAUCUCCCUCUUUUGAUUGUUUUAUCAUUGUGAUAACUAAGGUCCAUACGGGUAUUGUGAUUGUCCUAUUGAUGAUUAUAAUAU
rnacentral:lncRNA from 1 species